rnacentral:rRNA from 1 species
AUGCUUACCAUGCAAGUCGAACGAGACGGGAUGGAAUGACCCUUCGGGGGAAUGAAAUCCUAGAAAGUGGCGAACGGGUGAGUAACGCGUGGGUAACCUGCCCUAUGGAAGGAAUAGCCUCGGGAAACUGGGAGUAAUGCCUUAUAAUAUACGAGAGUCGCAUGGCUUUUGUAUUAAACGCUCCGGUGCCAUAGGAUGGACCCGCGUCCCAUUAGCUAGUUGGUGAGAUAACAGCCCACCAAGGCAACGAUGGGUAACCGGUCUGAGAGGGCGAACGGUCACACUGGAACUGAGACACGGUCCAGACUCCUACGGGAGGCAGCAGUGGGGAAUAUUGCGCAAUGGGGGCAACCCUGACGCAGCAAUACCGCGUGAGUGAAGAAGGUUUUCGGAUCGUAAAGCUCUGUUAUUGGGGAAGAAAAAAGACGGUACCCAAGAAGAAAGUCCCGGCUAACUACGUGCCAGCAGCCGCGGUAAUACGUAGGGGACAAGCGUUGUCCGGAUUUACUGGGCGUAAAGGGCACGCAGGCGGUUUUUUAAGUCAGAUGUGAAAGGUACCGGCUCAACCGGUGACAUGCAUUUGAAACUGAAAGACUUGAGUAUUGGAGAGGCAAGUGGAAUUCCUAGUGU